rnacentral:rRNA from 1 species
UGGUCAGGACGAACGCUGGCGGCGUGCCUGAUACAUGCAAGUCGAACGGUCUUUCUAUGGAAGCUUGCUUCCACUGAGAAGAUAGUGGCGAACGGGUGAGUAACACGUGGGUAACCUGCCCAUAAGAGGGGGGAUAACAUCCGGAAACGGGUGCUAAUACCGCAUAGUUUUCUUGAUCGCAUGAUUGAGAAAGGAAAGACGGCCUUUGUGCUGUCGCUUAUGGAUGGACCCGCGGCGUAUUAGUUAGUUGGUGAGGUAACGGCUCACCAAGACGAUGAUACGUAGCCGACCUGAGAGGGUGAUCGGCCACAUUGGGACUGAGACACGGCCCAAACUCCUACGGGAGGCAGCAGUAGGGAAUCUUCCGCAAUGGACGAAAGUCUGACGGAGCAACGCCGCGUGAGUGAAGAAAGGUUUUCGGAUCGUAAAGCUCUGUUGUCAGAGAAGAACAAGUUGGAGAGUAACUGCUCCAGCCUUGACGGUAUCUGACCAGAAAGCCACGGCUAACUACGUGCCAGCCGCCGC